GACGAACGCUGGCGGCGUGCCUAACACAUGCAAGUCGAGCGAGUGAAUCUCCUUCGGGAGUGAAGCUAGCGGCGGACGGGUGAGUAAAACGUGGGCAACCUGCCUCAUAGAGGGGAAUAGCCUUCCGAAAGGAAGAUUAAUACCGCAUAAGAUUGUAACUUCACAUGAAGUAGCAAUUAAAGGAGCAAUCCGCUAUGAGAUGGGCCCGCGGCGCAUCAGCUAGUUGGUGAGGUAACGGCUCACCAAGGCGACGAUGCGUAGCCGACCUGAGAGAGGGAUCGGCCACAUUGGGACUGAGACACGGCCCAGACUCCUACGGGAGGCAGCAGUGGGGAAUAUUGCACAAUGGGGGAAACCCUGAUGCAGCAACGCCGCGUGAGUGAUGACGGCCUUCGGGUUGUAAAGCUCUGUCUUCAGGGACGAUAAUGACGGUACCUGAGGAGGAAGCCACGGCUAACUACGUGCCAGCAGCCGCGGUAACAC
rnacentral:rRNA from 1 species